rnacentral:rRNA from 1 species
CCUACGGGAGGCAGCAGUGAGGAAUAUUGGUCAAUGGGCGAGAGCCUGAACCAGCCAAGUAGCGUGAAGGAUGACUGCCCUACGGGUUGUAAACUUCUUUUAUAAAGGAGUAAAGUGAGGCACGUGUGACUUAUUGAAUGUACUCUAUGAAAAAGCAUCGGCUAACUCCGUGCCAGCAGCCGCGGUAAUACGGAGGAUGCGAGCGUUAUCCGGAUUUAUUGGGUUUAAAGGGUGCGUAGGUGGGUUGUGAAGUCAGCUGUGAAAGUUUGGGGCUCAACCGUGGAAUUGCAAUUGAUACUGGCUGUCUUGAGUACGGGAGAGGUAGGCGGAAUUCGUGGUGUAGCGGUGAAAUGCAUAGAUAUCACGCAGAACUCCGAUUGCGAAGGCAGCUUAC